AGCCCUGUGGUCUAGUGGUAAUGAUUCGAGGCUUUGGACCUCGAGACUCCGGUUCGAAAGUCGGGCGCUCCCGACGUAAGCAGUUGCUAUCUCGCUUUGCGACAUAGCACAAAAGUGGAACGCUGACUUGAAAGUCCGGGCGGGGCUA
rnacentral:tRNA from 1 species